rnacentral:lncRNA from 1 species
AAAAUAAACUGGGGGAACUCGGAGACCAGAACUGGAGCUCUCUGUUCUCUUGUAAGUAGCUUGGGAACUAGAGAGCUGCAAUUUGUACUUGGAUUUUUAGAGCAGCGAAUAUUCAGGUCCCGGUCAAAAAGGCAGAAAUUCAGACCCAGAGGAGAGCAGGGGCCUGGACAGCGCCCCGGGCCUUCCUCAGACUGGAAGAGUUCACGCUGGCAAAGAAAGUGCAGCCCCAGAGAGUCUGCGUCAGGGCAGGCGCCGUCCUGCUGCAGUAACAAACAACCCGGAGUCUCAGAGGCUGACAGCAGUCAGUUUAUUUCUCACGGUCUGGGAUGGGAUUCCUGUGUCACAUUUGUAAGGACGGCUCUCGGAUGAGUCUCAAGACCGUGGAGGCUGAAAACCAACCACCCGUAAAUCCCUCAUUUUCCCGACACGUGGGAGGAGGCCCUGGGGGCCGAGCAGGCGCGAAGAGCCCAUAGCCCGCCAGCUGCUCCGCCCGCAUUUAGAAAACCCUGUGUGCUGUGUUAUCAUACACACCAUCAAGCCAUCCAUGCACAGUUUCAAGAUUCACAAUCUGCUUUUGACCCAGAUGAGUCAUGACCACGCAUCUCUGUCAAUUGCUCCAAGCCUUAAUUAAUGACCGCUUCUGCUUUGCACAAUGAUCCCGGAUUUUUUUUGUUUUUAAUAUACAAAUUUGUUCAUCCAGUGAGACGCCCGGCGGUUGACGCACGCUGAUGUAAACAACAAACACGUCAUCACUAUCGCAUGAAAUCUCAUCAGGAUUCCUUCCUGUGUGUCACUAAUAACAGCAUCAACAUUAUGUUUCAAGGCCAGAGCCUUUGUGGUCUUUCAAAAACCAAAGAACGGAUCUGUUUCUGAACCGGAUGGGCCACAGCCCUAAGUGGCAGGUUCUUCAUUUUUCUGAGACAAUUAGAUUUUACAGGAAAGACUGGACAACUUUUUCGUUUGCUCCACAUUUUCGGGGGUGGAAAUGCAAGUGCCACACGGAGGUCACCACAUGCCUGGGCACCUCUGGGUCCCUGCCCUUUGUCAGCCCCUGCCUCACGAGCCCCCCCGCGGAAUUCCCAGCCUCUGCUGGCAGCUCCACCAGCUGGAGCUCCUUCCGCGGCCGCCGGCUACGCAAAAGGCAGAUAGAAACCGACGGUGGCGUUUUUUUCCAUGGAAACCCAAAAGCCGGAUGUCACAGCUUGCGUUUCUUCUUCCCGACAGUCACAGUUGAGGGUAACGGUGGAGCAGGAGAGGAAACCCGCUCGAGCCUUGGGGAAGACCGGGCACAGGUGGAUCGCGGGAGGGCACUCGCAGCGGGUGUUUGCCGUUUGCCCACCUGGGCCUUGUCUGCGUCGAGGCGGACCCCCCCUCCCCUCCCCCCUCACUGGGUCCCGCAGGGCGCUGGCCCUGGAACCGGGUCCUGUCUCCACGGUCCUGCACUGGGUCACCAUCCGCUGUCUGAACCGGCCGGGGUUACCAUAGCAACGCUACCCAAACCUUGGUGCGGACGGAGGCUCUGGGACCCGGAAAUGUUGUCACUUCAACCUCUGCCUUUCAGGGUUUGGAACCUGACUCUAAACCCACAUAUCAGAGUACAGGGCGUUUGAGAAAAGCCGAGAGCUCCAGGUGUUCAGUUUCCAGAUGGGACUUCCAGGCCUCCUGUAGAAAUCGGUUCCUUACAGAGGUCGUGAAAACCACUUAGAAUUUGUCACGCGGGUGUCUGACCUCAGCUUGGACGCACUUGGGAGCAGGACACAGGGGAGGGUGAAAACGGGGAGUGUGGGGGGGCCAUCUUGGUGGGUGACAGGUGACAGGACUGUGCUGGGGGGAAAACGAGGCUGGGGUCUCCCCUCCCCCGCACCUGCCCAACUGCAGACCAAAGCCUUAGGUGCCCACAGGGAUCUCAGGAUGCUGCCCCUUACUGGUCAUUUGCAUUCCCCCCCCACCCCCGCGCCCCCCUACUCUGCCUGCCUUCCUAGACUUUUCCAGAAUCUCCAGCUUUGAGUGCUCCCUGCUGCCUCUUGCAUCUUUCUGGGAGCUCUGCUGAGUGCCCACGUCCUGGGAAUGAUGGAGAGAAGUGGGGGGCGUGCUCCCAAUGCCCCCCGCCCUCGGGGGCACCCUUGCUCGGCACUUACACUGUGGAAGCAGAUUCCUCCACUAACCACACCCACCUUGCAGGAGCUGAGGGAUUACAGAUGACAAUGGAUUUGAGACGGGGCCAGAGCAGUACUGCCGGUCGGCUCAGGAGCUGGCAGCAGGUGACAACUGGCUAUGAGACAGUCCCUCUGGCCUGGGCGAGGGGGGUCCCUGACCUGCAUCUUCACCUGUACGGUCCCCUCUCUGGUCCUCCUCUGGCCUUGCUCUCGUAAAGGUCAGGAUGCCCAGUGGACGCAGGGGGCUUCCUUCGUGGUCCACACACGGCACACCCAGGAGCCGGAAAUGCCAAGGGAACAGUCUUGUGUCCACACGUUCCUGCCCAUCAUCCUGAGGCUCCCCGCUCGGCCCCAGGCAGCCGGGACUUCUGGGGGAUCGGAUGGAAGCGGGACUUGGGGGCUGGGCUCCAGCCACACACCGCGGGCCAAGGUUAAGGUGAGAAGGCGGGGAGGGGCCCAGGGUGGGGUGCUGACCUGGUUGUGGCUCAGCAGCGGGCGUCUGAGAAUUCCACUCUCACGCCUGGCCUGUCGGGUCCUUAGUUAGACACGCCUGUCAAGACAAGCAGCCCAGGUCUCAGUCGACGGUCUGCAGGUUUGAUUCAUCAUUGCAGAUAUUUACCCAGACGGCGAGAAGGCUCCGGUGGCCUGGGCCAAUGGUGGUGACGCGGGUGGAGCAGAGUCCCAGGAGGGGACCCUAGACAGAGGGAAACCUAGGCAAUUUGGGGACACUCUUCCAUGCAGCAGUCACUGCCUUUUUAUUGUUGUCCUUUUCCAAAGGGAUUUUCUUAAAAAUCGGGCAGUGACUGACCAGGUAACAGUGGAAUGAGAUACCCACACAACACGGACAUUGGAAAAGAGCUCAAAAGGGAGGCUAAGGAACCCAACUGUGGCUCUGGUGAGAAUCUGCUUCCUCCUUCCCUGCUUCCCAACCAGUUAGUUACCUAGAAGUUCCAAUUCCAAAGGAAAGACAAGGGCCCUGCAAAGAACUGACUAUGCAUAUGGUUUAACCAGGGAGCAGUCUGGCUCAAGGGCUGAAUGUUCCGUGUCAAAUUCAAACACAUUUGCAUCCUUUCUCCCCCUGACCUUAGAUGGGUUGCUUCGCAUAGGGUUCCACUGGGCGGAGCUGAAUGAAUCCUGCGGGGGAGGGGGGGAGGCAUUUUCCUGGAAGAGCAGAUGGUUGCCUAGGGCGGCAAAAAUGUUUUAGUGACUCUAUUAAGCCAGGGUUUGGAAGCCGUGAGGGGGUAGGUGGGUUUGUGGCUCUUCCCCCCCCCAUCUUGCCAAGGGCAGCCAAUUCCAGGCACCACCCUAGGGCGUAUCAGGCAGAACAUCUGAAUAUAUUUGCAUCUCUAAUUGAAACCAGGGCAGGGAGGGGGAGAGGAGAGGGCUUGCUGGGCUUUUGAGAAUUUAACUUGCUGCCUCCGUCCUCACACAGCUCCUGUGACGUCUCCUGGCUGGGAGGGAGGCUGGCAGAACCAGGCUUUGAUACAGGUGACAUGAAGGUCACUUCACCAGCAUCAGGGUCGUGACAACCCAGGCAGACCAGGGGGACAGCUGGCAUCCCCGCCUGCUCACUCGCCUCGUCUCCCCACCCCGGAGAGUGUGUACACUGUCAGAACAACACGACACGUCUCCUGAAGCCGGUCCCUAAUGUGCAGCUCGAUCCCACAGCUGCCAGCACCAUCUGUGCAGGUUGUCACUGCAACUCAGGUUGUCAGACCUGGGGAAGCCUUGGUGGGACAGGGCCCCUUCUCCAGGCAGACCUGACUCUUUUGUAGUACUUCUUUCUUUGUGAUGGAAGUGACUCACACGCCUGGGGGAGCCUGAACCCUGGAAAGGUGAGUCAACAGCGCUGCAGCCUAAGACGCUGGGCAGGGGACAGCACGACCCAUCCAGUGUGGACUCUGGUCAGAAACUGGUUCUGUGUGAUGUGUGCCGUGCUGGGUGAAAGGACCGCUCAAGCUCGAGUUCAUUGCCAUUGCCGUGAGCCAGCUCAGGGCAGGUAAACGAGCUGUCCAGAGGCAAUCUGGAGGCUUGCUGAGAAGUGAUACUUUUGGGGGGAUCCAAGGCAAGGGGUCUUCGGGUAGCCGACAUCCUUGGAAUAGUCACUGGAGUCAAUGAAAGGCCACGGGAGAAAUCUCAACGGAGGAUCCACGGAGUUCGCAGCGGGAGCCCUCUUGGGUGCCCAAAGGGACAUAGGAGGUCGCAUGGCCCGCAAAGGGGGACCCCCCCUUGGCCAUCACAGGCAGUGCAGCUACAGAGAGAAUGGGUUUUCCCCCGAGGGGACUAUGGUAUGUUGCCAGUAGGAGGUGGGAAGGACAAGAGGAGGCUGGAGAGACUUAGGUAGGAGUCCUUCUGGAUGCUUCUUAUUGGGAAAAACCCUCCAUGAUGCUGGGGAACUGUGGUUCAGCAUCCUUUCAAAUCCAAUCCUUCCCAAACGGGCAAAAGGUUUUUCCUCUUUCUUUUCAAAGUCAUUUCAGUGUCUUUUCUGAUGUGUGAGAUAUUUAUUUUUUCAAGUACUUCCCAAUUAACAAAUGUACCUACACAGAGGACCCAAGGGAUCUAGUCUCAAUAUGUCCCCAUAAUUCACCACUGAUGGGAACUAAAUAUGCACCUUGAUGGAAGAAAAGAACCCUGCAUCGCUAAUGAAUAAACUUCCUGAAUGCAAUUCUAUGGGUCACGUCUCCUGAGAAAAGGCCUUUAAGCCUAACGGUUCAGGAUAAAUCGGCCAGCAGCCAGUGUGUGAUAACUUAGCACAAAGGGGUUUGAAAGAUAAUCAGGCCAGGGCUGCAGAGACGGUCUCAGAGCCAAGGUUCAAGGUGUCCGGGAAAGUUUGGGACCUACCUUGAGUCAGUCGCAGAAUGUUCCACAGGUAGGAGGGGUGUUCUACACACAGAAGGGUGAUGAAUAAAACAGGUAGACACCUAACAAAAUGCUUAAUUUUGCUGCAGUCAAAAAGUCACCGAGCCCACAAUAUAAAACUUCAAUUUCUGCGUCCUAACAAGACAAAGACGUUACCUAAAAAAUAAUAUAAACCUAUGCAGAUAACCGAAUCACUGUGCUAUACACCGUCAACUAACACAACAUUGCAAAUCAACAGUACUUCAAUGAAAAUAUUUGACAAAGAGAAACAGUAUCCUUAUUUAAAAAAAUUUUUUUUUGCUUUUUAGGAUCACACCCGCAGCAUAUGGAGGUUCCCAGAAUAGGGGUCUAAUGGGAGCUAUAGCUCCCGGCCUAUGCCACAGCCACAGCAAUGUGGGAUCCAAGCCACAGCAACACCAGAUCCUUAACCCACCGAGCGAGGCCAGGGAUCGAACCCGAAACUUCAUGGUUCCUACUCGGAUUCGUUUCCACUGAGCCAUGACAGGAAUUCCUAAAAAGCAAAAUGUUAUCUUUAUACCUCUGUAAAAAGUGCCCCUUGUGCAUCCUGGUUUGCGAUCAUUGUAAGAUCCUGGAACUCCUAUGAAAAGAUGAAGAUAGAAUUUGGACUUUAUUUCUGGGUGCACGAAAAUGCAAGGUCAAGAACACGUGCAAAAACUGCACAUUUGGGGUUGUACAAGGUUGCUUGUUACGACGUAUCUUGUCUGCCACUCUUAGUGGCAUUUCCUAGGACGGCUGUUAAAAGCUGGGGGAUUCCCAGACGAGAAGGCAAAUUAGGUUUUGAGCUUUGGCUGUAAAAAUGUCUGUGCUUCUUUGGGGAGCGAAGGACGAUGUAAUCAAACCCUCCACGAAAAGGCAAAUCACGGUGCUUGUAGCUAUAACACACCUGUUGAAUUUGGGGCCAUGCAAAGUUGGCCUUGGGGAUGAGCUAGGUCAUGGGCUGAAAGCCCAGAUGAAGAUAUUAAUGUGAGCCCCUUGCUAAAUUGCAUUCCUUGUCUUUCUCUCUCUCUCUCUCUCUCUCUUUUUUUUUUUUUUUUUCAUUCCCAGGGCAGUCAUUCUGUUCUUGGAAUUCAGUUCAUAAAAACUCACACUCUCGUCCUUGGAAUGUUAUCCUCUGUAGGCUUCCGUUACCCCUGGGAAGAAGAAAAAUGAACGAGACACAAAGAGACAAUUCAUUCUCUCUGGUGUAUUUGAACUUACAUAAAUCUCAUGAUUCACAAGGAAUGAAACACCUGAAAAAUAAUUUCUCCAGAUGCCUGUGGUUUUAUUGCUGAAAAUCUUUCUUUCUCAUGAGCCUGUUCUCACUCUCAGGACGUGCUGCCUCCUUCAGACAGUUUGGUUUUGGAAAGAGUCAUAUCAGUUGGCUGAGCUUGUUUUGUGGGAGAGCUUUGAAAAGAUCUCGUAAUGAAAUCCCUGAAAAUGGCUUUGAGGGAAGGCUCCUGAGGCGGAGGCUUCCACCUGCUCCUAGAGUGAAGGAGGCUGCUGGGGACCACGAGGUCAGUGUUUUCCAAAGUUGCUUCAUUGGGACACAAGUUCUGGAAGGUCACUCUUGCGAGAAAAAGGAAAAAAAAA